GCAGUCGAGCGGAUGARKGGAGCUUGCUCCWKGAUUCAGCGGCGGACGGGUGAGUAAUGCCUAGGAAUCUGCCUGRUAGUGGGGGACAACGUUUCGAAAGGAACGCUAAUACCGCAUACGUCCUACGGGAGAAAGCAGGGGACCUUCGGGCCUUGCGCUAUCAGAUGAGCCUAGGUCGGAUUAGCUGGUUGGUGAGGUAAUGGCUCACCAAGGCGACGAUCCGUAACUGGUCUGAGAGGAUGAUCAGUCACACUGGAACUGAGACACGGUCCAGACUCCUACGGGAGGCAGCAGUGGGGAAUAUUGGACAAUGGGCGAAAGCCUGAUCCAGCCAUGCCGCGUGUGUGAAGAAGGUCUUCGGAUUGUAAAGCACUUUAAGUUGGGAGGAAGGGCRGUAAGCUAAUACCUUGCUGUYUUGACGUUACCGACAGAAUAAGCACCGGCUAACUUCGUGCCAGCAGCCGACGGUAAUYA
rnacentral:rRNA from 1 species